rnacentral:rRNA from 1 species
GAUGAACGCUGGCGGCGUGCCUAAUACAUGCAAGUCGAGCGAACAGACGAGGAGCUUGCUCCUCUGACGUUAGCGGCGGACGGGUGAGUAACACGUGGAUAACCUACCUAUAAGACUGGGAUAACUUCGGGAAACCGGAGCUAAUACCGGAUAAUAUAUUGAACCGCAUGGUUCAAUAGUGAAAGACGGUUUUGCUGUCACUUAUAGAUGGAUCCGCGCCGCAUUAGCUAGUUGGUAAGGUAACGGCUUACCAAGGCAACGAUGCGUAGCCGACCUGAGAGGGGGAUGGGCCACACUGGAACUGAGACACGGUCCAGACUCCUACGGGAGGCAGAAGUAGGGAAUCUUCCGCAAUGGGCGAAAGCCUGACGGAGCAACGCCGCGUGAGUGAUGAAGGUCUUCGGAUCGUAAAACUCUGUUAUUAGGGAAGAACAAAUGUGUAAGUAACUAUGCACGUCUUGACGGUACCUAAUCAGAAAGCCACGGCUAACUACGUG